GAAGCAAGCCAGACCGCCGCUGGUGCAAUCUCCGAAAGGAGGCACUGGAGGAAGGUCCGGACUGCACAGGGCGGCGUAGCAGCUAACGGCUGUCCACCGUGAGGUGAGGAUCAGAGCAACAGAGACGAGUCGGCGUGUUUUCGCAAGAAAGCACGCAGGGUGAAACGGGCAAUCUCUACGCGCAGCAACACCAAAUAGGCCAGCGUUGAUGUG
rnacentral:RNase_P_RNA from 1 species